AAUGAACGCUGGCGGUAUGCUUAACACAUGCGAGUCGAACGGACUCUUCGGAGUUAGUGGCGGACGGGUGAGUAACGCGUGAGAAUCUGGCUUUGGGUUCGGGACAACAACUGGAAACGGUGGCUAAUAUCGGAUGUGCCGAGAGGUAAAAGAGAAAUUGCCGGAAGAUGAGCUCGCGUCUGAUUAGCUAGUUGGUGAGGUAAGGGCUCACCAAGGCAGCGAUCAGUAGCUGGUCUGAGAGGAUGACCAGCCACACUGGGACUGAGACACGGCCCAGACUCCUACGGGAGGCAGCAGUGGGGAAUUUUCCGCAAUGGGCGAAAGCCUGACGGAGCAAUACCGCGUGAGGGAAGAAGGCUCUUGGGUUGUAAACCUCUUUUCUUAGGGAAGAACAAAAUGACGGUACCUAAGGAAUCAGCAUCGGCUAACUCCGUG
rnacentral:rRNA from 1 species